CCUUAUUGUGGCAGGGACGGACUCUCUCUCUCCCUCUCCCUCGCUUUCCGUCUCUCACUCGCGAAUCUGCAAAGAGGAGAGAGAAAGGAUGUUAGGUUAGGUUAGGUUAGGUGAGUGUGGUUGACUUAGAAAGCUUAGGAAAGAGGAAUGAGAAGGAAAAGACUGAUUAUAACAUAGAGACAAGAUAUCUGUGAAGGGGGGAAGAAAGGUUAGGUUAGGUUAGGUUAGGUGAGUGAGGUUGACAUAGACAGCUUAGGAAAGAGAAAAGGAAAGUAAAAAACUGAUUAUAACAUGGAGAGGCAAGAUAUCUGAAAAGGCGAAAAGAAAGGUUAGGUUAGGUUGGGUUAGGCGAGUGUGGUUGACUUAGAAAGCUUAGGAAAGAGGAAUAGGGAGAAAAAGACCGAGUGUAACAUAGAGAGAGAAGUUCGUGAAGAGAGGAAGAGAGGCUGUUAAGUGAGCAUGGAUGACUUAGAGAGAAAGCUUAUGAAAGAGAAAUAAGGAGGAAAACACUGAAUAUAAGAUCGAGAGACGAGAAACGAGUAUAAUGGACUGGAAAGUGAUUAAAACAUAUUGUGAAGAAAGGAAGAAAAGAAACGAAAGAUAUCUGUAAAGGCGAAAAGAAAGGUUAGGUUAAGUUAGGUUAGGCGAGUGUGGUUGACUUAGAAAACUUAGGAAAGAGGAAUAAGGAUGAAAAGACUGAUAAUAAUAUGGACCAUCAAUGACUUAUAGACUCCUAAUAUUAAACGUCUCUCACUCGCAAAUAUGUGAAGAGAGGAUGAAAAGGCUGUUAGGUGAGUGUGACUGACUUAGAGAGAAAGCUUAGGAAAGAGAAAUAAGGAGGAAAAGACUGAUAAUAACAUGGACCAUCGAUGACUUACGGACUCCUGAUAUUAAACGUCUCUCACUCGCAAAUAUGUGAAGAGAGGAUGAAAAGGCUGUUAGGUGAGUGUGACUGACUUAGAGAGAAAGCUUAGGAAAGAGAAAUAAGGAUGAAAAGACUGAUAAUAACAUGGACCAUCGAUGACUUACGGACUCCUGAUAUUAAGCGCCUCUCACUCGCAAAUAUGUG